AAAAAACUUACCUUGACAGAAAAAACCCCGCUCCCAUCCUCUUCCUCACGGUCUCUUACGAAGCGUGGCCUCCUGCAAACUGCGCAGCCGCCGCCAUCUCCCCCCUCGUCCCUUCCUCUCCCCCUCUGCCCCCCUCUCCCUCGAUGUGCUGGCGUGCUGGCCUCCUCCUCCAUCUCUGCUUUUCAUCUUCCCUCUCUCGAUGCCGCGGCACGUUGACUGGCGAACAGCGCAGGCGGCAUGGCGGCGCAAGGCCACCGGCGGCCUCCCGCAGGACACAGCACGACGCGCGCGGCCCCUCAGGUCGCAACCGGCGUGGGUGCCCCUGAUACGGCCUUCUCCCCUCGUUCCUCCUGUGCUCGUGUGCUACAGGAAACCCUAGGUGCCUCUGCUCAAGGACCCCGGCUGCACGUUCCCUCUUUCCUUUGCGCCGGCAGCUCAGCUCCGUAGCCGGAUGUGGCGGUUGCUGGCCCCUCCACCUAGGGUUCUGCAGCGGCGGCGGCGGCGCCGUGUCGUCCCCUCCCCGCUUCUCUCUCGGUGUGCACAGGCUAUGCCACCAGGUAUUGAUAGGUAUGGAUGGAUACGGGCACUUCUCCUACCCUAUUUGUGCUUGAUCUUCAGUGUUUAGUCUAUUUCUAAUCUGCUCAGCAUGCGGUUGUUGUAGGUUUGCUAAGUGGUAAUGAAUGUUUCUUUUGUAGAUUACUGCCUUCUGUGUUCUCUAACUGUGAACCUUGUUUUAUAAAUGUCAUUUAAUUUUUCCGCAGCGGCAAUCUCUCCUAUGCUGCUGGCCAAACGACAAAAGGUUCAGCCCACAUCUCUAUAAUCCCCUCAUUUACAAAUAGACUGCUUAGUGUUGUGUUGUAGUAUGGCAAAAAACUAUGCCAAAAGAAAUACCAAGCAAUGAAAAAAACACAUUCAGGAAACAUAUGGUUUAGGUGGAUCUAAUUUUGCUACUUCAGUUGUCAUUGUUGUUAAGUGAUAAUUGAGAAGGAUGAUGUUGCCAAAAAUGCUUCAGGAGCUUAUCACCUAUACGGAGUGAGUUCACAUAUUCUUUGCCUACAUUUUAAUUUAUGUUUAUUGAAUUCUUGUGGGAUUAUUAUAGAUAUGGUCCGUUCAUGGUUUACCAAUGGUUGAACAUGUUCCUUUAUUUUCAAAUUUUUUUUACAAGGAUGAAGUUUCAGAGCACAAAAGUUAUACCAAGAUUAUCUUUUGCCUUUAUGUUUUUUUUCCUACGGAGUAUAUUAGUCUUGCAUGAAUCAAAUACUUUGGAAUAUAGGAAGGCCUGGUUAGUGGGUCUCCUCAACAUGCACAACAUUUUAUUUAGGUUCCUUUCUUACCAUCAAACACAUCUAAAUUCCGGUGAUUAUUUUUCUCUACAAAAGUUCCUCUGUUUGAGCGGGUGGGCUUCAGUUCAUCUAACUGUUGUUGCAUUUAUGCAUUUGUAGAUUGAUUUUGUUCUCCUGGAUAUCAUCUACAGCCUGCCCUAUCACUACAGCAGCCAAGACGAGAAUCGACAUGCCUACAUUUUUCCUUAUUUUGGUGAUUGAAAAAGCCUUUUCUCCUUACUUUACCUCCAUGAAAAUUAUCUGAAAGUUCACAUAAUUGGUUGGGUGUUAUAUCACUCAGCACACCCCAUUUCCAAUGAUGUAUUUACUUAGCAUGGAUUCAUAUUUGGGUGGCUGCUAUGGGUGCCUCUCGGGCCACGUCUCAAAAUUGCUCCUGUGGGCACCGUUCAGCCAUGUCGUCAGUCCACACCAUGCUCGAGGAUAUGAUCUGAUGUUGAUUCGCUUGUGAGGUACUGGGCAUGUCCUAUUACGUACAUUAUGCAAUAUGCAAUUUCUAAGAGUAACACAUUUGUCAACAUGCCUUGAAGCUCCAAGCUGAUGAGCAAAUGAUGAUUGAUGGAUUACUGAGGCUUCUAACAAUCCUGUCAUCAUUGGAAAAAAUUCUUACCUUUUUUAUUGUUGCAACAGAAAUAGAGUUUUAAGUCAUGAGAGAGCCCAUCAUAUGCACUGUAGUCCUAUUUAUAUUUUCCCUGCACUCAUUUUGCUUACAACUUGCAGCUGAAAAAGAUCUUACACCUCAUCAUAACCAUGGGUACAUAUUUUUCAUUCUAUAAUGAAUGCUUCAAAACCAUGAAUUUUCUAGAAGAUUAGCAUAUUACUGAAUGCUAGAUGAUAACCAUAUCAUUGUUUUUAUAUUUGUGUCAUUGGUCAUGCCAAUUAUCUAUCAAUCUAGGUUUAUGCAAAAGAAAGGUCCUUGUCCAACGAGGAUAAGUAGGUCAAGGUUUCCCUAUUUGUGCUCCCUGUGAUUAUUGAGCUCUUGCUUUCCAAACUGCCAUAGGGUGCUAAUGAAGAUUGAUGUCUCCUUAAUACUGCUUUUUAUUAUUCGACAAAAAAACAUUGUCUGUGGAGUUUUUUUUUCCUAUACUUUGGUUCAGAAUGCUAAUGAUGGUCAAUGUCAUGCUCGGCAUAUUCUCAGAUUCAACUUGCACAACACAGGAAAAAAAGGAUUCGGUGAAGCCUUGCCAUUACUAAACUAUUUCCCCCUUUCUAUACCUGUACAAAAUAUUUUGCUAGAGGGAUUCAGAUUGUUAAGCUGUUCUGCUUGUGUCAUCUAUGUACAAUACAACUGGUCUAUCAAGAUUAAAGCAGCCAUUUUAAAAUUAAUUAUGUUUCCUUCCUCUAGACAGUGCAGUGCAAAUGGAAGACAUUGGUGAACACCCGCUUUAAACUUUGUGUCUUUCAAGCCUUCCUCUUUCAACCAGAAACUCAGGUACCAUGUUUUUCUCAUCCGCUCAGUUUUGUGGGUUCCAAUUGAUCCUUUUCUAUUAAGACCAUCCAACAUUUACAGAUUAAAGAUGAUUUCCUAUGAUCUCUAACUCUAGAUUUUCUUGACUCGAUGGCAUCCUGAAUAUGACCGUUUAUACCUAUGUUUUCUUACUAAGAUCAGUAUAUCCUCUAAUGUAUUAUGUUUGUAUCAACUUCUCAUCGGCAAUCCGGACUCUAAUAUACCAGUAUAUAGUAUUAGCCAUAUGUAAUAUAUAAAUUUUUAAGGCGUGUAUGCAUCAAUGUACCCUAAUUAUAUGUAUCACCGUUGUAUGCGACACGUGUAUUGCGCCUGUAUAAACCUAAAAAUACCCACCUGAACCAUAUGUAAUAUACAUUUGCAGCACUAUGUUUUCUAUGUAGACGACUGUUUAUGGCAUAUGCACCAUGUAUGAUAUACAUAGCCCUAUGUAACAUAUGUAAGUCCUCUGUACCUAUGCAUCAAUGUUGUAUAAGUCUUACGCAUACAAAACUAAAGGUAUCCUCCCUUCUCCUCUACCUGUUGUGUGACACAGAGCACCCAAACCCUAGCUUUCGUCAAACUCUCUGGUAUAUAGAUGUGCUUUGUUUUUCUUUUUCUUACCAAUUUCCUGAUCAAAGUUGUGCCUUUGCUUGGUUACAUGGAUGAAUGGUUAUAGUUAAUUAUCAGCUACUUGGGAUGAGUAUCUUUUAUAUGUUCUGGGUACAAACAAAUGGAAUUGUUCCGGUUACUUCUUCACAUAAUCCAUGUUUCUUCUCGCGGCCUCCAUGGACCAUAGUCCACCAAAAAUAAAGUGUUGAUGCUUAUUUAGAUAUUGUAUUGUCAGACUUUAUGAAAUUAAAUAGUCCAUGAGAGUUUGGCUGGUUUCCCCUCAUUACCAUAUCGUAGAUUGUAUCUCUCAUUAUAUGAUGUUUGCCUACAUGUUCUGACAAAUAUAGCCAAACCAUUUUACUUCUCGGAUGCUUGCAAGCAUCAACCAAUGAAUUGCAAGCCUAAGAAGGUAGAGAAACAACAUCAAUCAGGAACACAUGGAUCAACCAAUGGAUGAUACGUGUGUCCAAGUCGUGGUGGGGAUAUGAGAUUUGCCCAAGCUUGGCUCAGUGACCAUUACUGCUAUUCCUGCAGUCCAAAUGUGUUGCCUCGAACAUAGGUCCAUGUAAUCUUCCUAAACCCACAACCUCCUAUAUAUGCUUAUAUCACAUGAGUGAGAUUACAGCUUGCAUACUUCCAUCAAUCUCUUUUAGUGUCUGUCUUAGUAUCUAAAUUACUGUGGACCUGCUUUAAUAAAUAGAGUCCCUUUUUUGUUGGAAGCAUUAUUAGUGCAGACCUGUCUUAGUAUCUUAGUUAGCUAUGGACAGUACAAUGUCUACUGCCUAAGUAGUUAUGUCUUCCAUACUUUGCACGACAGUUUCUUACAUACAGCGCUCUGUUUCAACCACAGACUGAUAUAGAGGUACAAUUUUGCUGGAUUGAUUGAUUAGUGUAUAAGCAGCACAGCUGAAAAGGCCUGCACAAACCAGAUGGUUGCCAUUGGCUUUUACUCAAAUUGGUCGUCAAUGGCAAAUAUGAUAUCAUCUCAUUUUAGCUUCAGUUUCUAACUAAGUCGUUUCGUUUUUUUAAUGAUUUUGAAUGGUGUGGAACUUCUGCUUAUUGAAGUUUGAUAGGCUGCAAUGAGUCAUCAUGUUAAUACAUGGUGCUACAAGGAACAUAUCAGGUUCUGUCCUAAAUCGCAUAUACCUUUUGAAGCUUCACAUGACUUUUGCUAUGGGAAUAAGAUCUUGCGUUUAACUGCUAAUUAUAGGAACUAAUCACUUUAUUUUAGUUCUACUCUAUGGUUUAGUGACCCUCAAUUUCAAUCUCUCGUUUGCUAGGUAAACCAUGAGUUUUAAGAUAGUGGUCAAUGACUUAUUUAACAUUAAAUUUUCUUCAGCGAGUUCUUCACAUGCUUAUGGUUUUAAAUAGACUCAGUCCAUACAUAACACCUCGUUAUAUUAUGUUAUUUGUGUACCCAAAAUUCAUAAAAGCUUGGACAGAUGCACGCAUGUUCACUUGAUUUUUUAUGUUACCUGUUACAACUUAUUAUUUUAGCCGUUUUUCGUGCAUCAGAUAUGCUGGUUACGUUGACUAAAACAUAGAUGACAGUUGUCUUAGUUGUAUAAGCUAUAUUAGCAUUUGUCUGAGAAUUGAGAGAAUUUUCAGAAUCUAUAGCAAAGCAGAGGGUGGCUAUGCUCCCUAUGAUAUGUUAAUUUGUUCAUGUUAUCAUAUUUGAUGAUCUAUUGAUCUGUCCUCAAUUUUUUUCUGUUAGUUCCAGUUGCUGCAUAUGUAGGCUUCCAUCUACUUCACAUCUGCUCCCAUUAAAACUAUGCCAUCUCUAAUUUUCUUGAUAACCUUUUCUAUCCACGUGACUUCAGGUAUGUUGUGGUGGCGUAUUCUGCAUUCCUUUGGUCAUCUGCAUUCCUUUGGUCAUUGGCAGGAGUUCUUACUUGCUCUCGUCGGCUGUUGUUCAAGUAACUUUAUCUUCUUUUGCUCUUAGUACCCAGACCUUAGUCGCAUUGUUUUAGUGGUGUUAUCCCUACCUUUACAGAUGAGUGCAACACCUUUCUUUUUUUAUGGAACUGGAGGGGCCUCGGCCCCUACAGGUGAUUUUAUUAACACAUUAAGAAAAGUUUACAAACAGACACGCACGCACACACCCAAGGGCGAGAAGGAAGAGGAGGAACAAGAAGUUCAAGAGGAACAGUAGCCUAAGAAUAAGACUAAGACUAAGGCUCAGACUAACUAAGGAACAAAGGAGACAAAGAAAACCAACAGCAGAAGCCAAUUGCCACAGGGCUUAUCCAAGAAAUGAAAAGGUUCCACGAAGCAAAUUCCGGACCUUUCAUUCUAUUGCAUAUCUAUUCAGUGGUAAACGUAUGUAAUUGCUAUAUAUAUAUAUAUAUAUAUACAUAGGAGGAUGGGUAUAUAUAUAUGUGUUCUGGCACAUGUAAAAAUAAAUAAAGUAUUUUGAUUCCUUUGUAUGAUAUAUCUCUAUUAAACUUUGA